AUUGAACGCUGGCGGCAUGCCUUACACAUGCAAGUCGAACGGCAGCGCGGGGCAACCUGGCGGCGAGUGGCGAACGGGUGAGUAAUAUAUCGGAACGUACCCUGGAGUGGGGGAUAACGUAGCGAAAGUUACGCUAAUACCGCAUACGAUCUAAGGAUGAAAGUGGGGAUCGCAAGACCUCAUGCUCCUGGAGCGGCCGAUAUCUGAUUAGCUAGUUGGAGGUAAAGCCUACCAAGGCAUCGAUCAGUAGCUGGUCUGAGAGGACGACCAGCCACACUGGAACUGAGACACGGUCCAGACUCCUACGGAGGCAGCAGUGGGGAAUUUUGGACAAUGGGCGCAAGCCUGAUCCAGCAAUGCCGCGUGAGUGAAGAAGGCC
rnacentral:rRNA from 1 species